GGUGGUGCAUGGUUGUCGUCAGCUCGUGUCGUGAGAUGUUGGGUUAAGUCCCGCAACGAGCGCAACCCUUAAGCUUAGUUGCCAUCAUUAAGUUGGGCACUCUAGGUUGACUGCCGGUGACAAACCGGAGGAAGGUGGGGAUGACGUCAAAUCAUCAUGCCCCUUAUGAUUUGGGCUACACACGUGCUACAAUGGACAAUACAAAGGGCAGCUAAACCGCGAGGUCAUGCAAAUCCCAUAAAGUUGUUCUCAGUUCGGAUUGUAGUCUGCAACUCGACUACAUGAAGCUGGAAUCGCUAGUAAUCGUAGAUCAGCAUGCUACGGUGAAUACGUUCCCGGGUCUUGUACAC
rnacentral:rRNA from 1 species